UUGCAUUUACGUAGCUUAGUUCAGAAUCCAGUAGUCGACUGAGGUAUUGUACUUGUAUAAUAUAAUAAUUAUUUGAAAAUAUUUUGUUGGCCAACCGCCUAGAGUCGAAAUACAUGUAUUGGCUAUGAUCCGUUUAAAUACGGCUGGACCUGUAUUGUUAAAUUUUACUACAGCUGAUUUUAGGAUUUCGAGUAUGUUUUAAGGAGGUCCAUCUGAGGAGAUUCAACUAAGAUUGUCAUGCGCGGAGUGGACUUCCUGCACUCCAGAGCAGGCAGAUUCUGAGCAAUUUUUUCGAAAAUUACUUUACUUAGGCUAUUGCUACAUUUCUGCGUAAUGGAGCUGAAUAGAAAGGAGCCGUAAUCCAUAUGAGACAAAGCAUUAAAUAUCAUAAUUAGGGUUUAUGGGAUCUGCACCCACCAAACUCUUCAUAUUGCUCUUAAUAAAAUAUGUUGAUAUUCUUCUUUGCUUGUACAAUUUUAUCUAUGUUUUUAUGAAAGGUAACUACCAAGAAUUUAACCUGAUUUUUAAAAGGAAAUGUUAUUGUUAUUAUUAAGACAGAUUCAAGGAGGGUUUGUUUUGCGUUGUCUUUUGUUAGUCACACAGCUUCACUAUCAAUUGAAAUCGACAAUCCAUAAGCUUCUAGCCAAUUUUUAAGAAUGUCUGUACCGCUAAUAUAAAACACCAAAGGAUCUGCAUACCCACAUAUUUUCACUUCGUUAGAGAAUAAGUAGAAAAAGUCAUGAAUGUAUAUGUUACAAAUAAUGGUGCUUAAGUAAGAACCUUAAGGGAGCGCUUGGAAGUUUGGUAUGGUCUCAAGAAAUUGCCUUCUUCAGAUCUCGAACAUAAAAGUCUAUUUUGUAGAAUUUUUAAGAUAAGGUUGUUUAAAGCCAAGAGAGGUUUAGAUUUUUGAGUUCAUUAUGACGGUUGCAUCUUUCAACAUUGUCAUAGGCUUAUUUAAUAUCUAGAAAAGUGGCUAAUACGGCUUGAGAAGAUUCAAAAUCUUCUAAAAUCGUAAAGUGUAAAAGAGCUAAUCAGGAUGAAAACACAUAUAUGUGACAACAUAAUAGCAGAAUACACCACCAAGAUUAAAGUCGAAAGUUUACAGGACGACUCCACAAGAUACCUAUUCCAAAAAA
rnacentral:lncRNA from 1 species